rnacentral:rRNA from 1 species
AUGUCAAGCUCCGGUGGCGGGAUGGGUGGCCGAGGGGGCCGUGGCGGUUCGCCGCCGCGGAAGCGCCGCAACGACGACGAGGCCGAGAGCUCCUCCCUCAGCCCGUCGGUGAAGGAGUCGCGCAAGGAGCAACCAUGGAAGCGUGGCACGUUGUCCCGCAGCUUUGCCGGGCGGGCGCGGAGCAACUUCGACCGCCUCAACUGGAUCUUCUCGCCCGCGCACAAGCGACUCCGGGCGGCGGAGCGCGCGUUAUUCGACGCGAAGAAGGCGGCCGCUGCCGAAGACGAAGCGGCAUUGAAGGAGGAGUAUGACCUGGCCGUGGCGUCCGUCCUCUCCGACUCGCCGAUGGAGUACCAUCUCGACGUCAAGAAGUCCGGUGAUGAUGAUUGUGCGUAG